CGCCUGUUUUUCAAAAACAUGUCUUUUUGUCCUAUAAAAAGUCGUAUCUGCUCACUGGUUUUCUAAAGAGCUGCAGUACCCUAACUGUGCAAAGGUAGCAUAAUAAUUUGUCUUUUAAUUAGGGGCUUGAAUGAAAGAUUUGACAUAAAAUAACUGUCUUAAUUUUUACUAAAAAAUUCAUUUUUAGUGAAAACUCUAAAAUAAAAAUAGAAGACGAUAAGACCCUUUAAAAUUUUUCUUAGUUUUAAAUUGGACUAGUCAAACCCGAAAUUAAAGAUUAAUUGGGGAGAUUUUUAUAAACUUAUAAAAACUGUAAAGAAAAAAAACACCUAUAUGUGAAUUUUAAGACCUUUAAAGAAGUUUUAAAUUAAAUUACUUAAGGGAUAACAGCGUUAUUUUUUUUAGAGCCCGAAUCGAAAAAAAAGAUUGCGACCUCGAUGUUGAAUUAAGAAGUCUCAUUUAAGUAAAAAUAAAUGAAGAGAAUCUGUUCGAUUCUUAAAUUCUUACAUGAUCUGAGUCAAAACCGGAGA
rnacentral:rRNA from 1 species